rfam:Dethiosulfovibrio salsuginis strain TSBA 82 genome assembly, contig: Ga0105850_122
CGACGAAGCCCCUUCGAGCCCGUAUUUUUGAUAUGCCGUCGUGUAGUGCGAAUGGGGCGACAGGACGUCGCCCCAAGCCGAGGGGGCACAGGACGUGCCCUCCGAGGCGGUUCGUACGAAACAGGCAGAUCGAGUAUACGCUUGGGCGAGACAGGGC